UGCGUAGGCGGGAUAAUAAGUCAGUGGUGAAAGCCUGCAGCUUAACUGUAGAAUUGCCAUUGAUACUGUUGUCCUUGAGUAUAGUUGAGGUGGGCGGAAUGUGUCAUGUAGCGGUGAAAUGCUUAGAUAUGACACAGAACACCGAUUGCGUAGGCAGCUCACUAAACUAUCACUGACGCUGAGGCACGAAAGCGUGGGGAGCGAACAGGAUUAGAUACCCUGGUAGUC
rnacentral:rRNA from 1 species